rnacentral:rRNA from 1 species
UUUCCGGUUGAUCCUGCCGGACCUGACUGCUAUCGGAUUGAUACUAAGCCAUGCGAGUCAUUGUAGCAAUACAAGGCAGACGGCUCAGUAACGCGUAGUCAACCUACCCUGUGGACGGGAAUAACCUCGGGAAACUGAGAAUAAUGCCCGAUAGAACAUUAUGCCUGGAAUGGUUUAUGUUCGAAAUGAUUUAUCGCCAUAGGAUGGGACUGCGGCCUAUCAGUUUGUUGGUGAGGUAAUGGCCCACCAAGACUAUUACAGGUACGGGCUCUGAGAGGAGUAGCCCGGAGAUGGGUACUGAGACACGGACCCAGACCCUAUGGGGCGCAGCAGGCGAGAAAACUUUGCAAUGUGCGAAAGCACGACAAGGUUAAUCCGAGUGGUUUCUGCUAAAGGAACCUUUUGUCGGUCCUAGAAACACCGAUGAAUAAGGGGUGGGCAAGUUCUGGUGUCAGCCGCCGCGGUAAAACCAGCACCUCAAGUGGUCAGGAUGGUUAUUGGGCCUAAAGCAUCCGUAGCCUGCUCUGUAAGUUUUCGGUUAAAUCCAUAUGCUCAACAUAUGGGCUGCCGGGAAUACUGCAGAGCUAGGGAGUGGGAGAGGUAGACGGUACUUGAUAGGAAGGGGUAAAAUCCUUUGAUCUAUUGAUGACCACCUGUGGCGAAGGCGGUCUACCAGAACACGUCCGACGGUGAGGGAUGAAAGCUGGGGGAGCAAACCGGAUUAGAUACCCGGGUAGUCCCAGCUGUAAACCAUGCAAACUCAGUGAUGCAUUGGCUUGUGGCCAAUGCAGUGCUGCAGGGAAGCCGUUAAGUUUGCCGCCUGGGAAGUACGUACGCAAGUAUGAAACUUAAAGGAAUUGGCGGGGGAGCACCACAAGGGGUGAAGCCUGCGGUUCAAUUGGAUUCAACGCCGGGAAUCA